rnacentral:rRNA from 1 species
UAUCAAUAAGCGGAGGAAAAGAAACCAACAGGGAUUGCCCUAGUUACGGCGAGUGAAGCGGCAACAGCUCAAAUUUGAAAUCUGGCGCAAGCCCGAGUUGUAAUUUGUAGAGGAUGCUUCUGGGUAGCGGCCGGUCUAAGUUCCUUGGAACAGGACNUCACAGAGGGUGAGAAUCCCGUAUGUGAUCGGCCCGCGCCCUCUACGUAGCUCCUUCGACGAGUCGAGUUGUUUGGGAAUGCAGCUCUAAAUGGGAGGUAAAUUUCUUCUAAAGCUAAAUACCGGCCAGAGACCGAUAGCGCACAAGUAGAGUGAUCGAAAGAUGAAAAGCACUUUGGAAAGAGAGUUAAAAAGCACGUGAAAUUGUUGAAAGGGAAGGGCUUGCAACCAGACUUGACGGCGGUGUUCCCCCGGGCUUCUGCCCGGGUUAUUCACCGUCGGCAGGCCAUCAUCGUCUGGGGCCGCUGGAGAAACCGUCAGGAAUGUGGCUCCCUCGGGAGUGUUAUAGCCUGUCGACAUGCAGCGUGCCCCGGGCGAGGUCCGCGCUUAGGCAAGGAUGAUGGCGUAAUGGUUGUCAGCCGCCCGUCUUGAAACACGG